rnacentral:lncRNA from 1 species
GGCCGCUCCCACGGCAUAUGGAGGUUCCCAGGCUAGGGGUCAAAUCGGAGCUGUAGCCACCGGCCUACGCCAGAGCCACAGCAACACGGGAUCCGAGCCGCGUCUGCAACCUACACCACAGCUCACAGCAACGCCAGAUCGUUAACCCACUGAGCAAGGGCAGGGAACGAACCUGCAACUUCAUGGUUCCUAGUCGGAUUCGUUAACCAUUGCGCCAAGACGGGAACUCCCCAAAUGUUAAUUUUUUAAAUGUGAUCACAGUGCUGUGAUUAUGUAAGAGAUCCAAGCUAACGUACUUAGGAGAGAAAGGUACCCAGGCCCGUAGCUAACACUCAAACAAAUCUGCAAAACAAUACGUGUACAUAUGUGUGCAUAUAUAUAUAUAUAUAAGACAGGGAAAGCAAAAGAGCAAAAUGUUAAGAAUUGGUGAAUCUGGGUAGAGUACAUUCACUAUACUAUCAUUUCAGCUAGGGGUCCAAUCGGAGCUGUAGCUGCCAGUCUAUGCCACAGCUACAGUAACGCAGAAUCCCAGCCGUGUCUGCGACCUACACCACAGCUCACAGCAAGGACAGAUCCUUAACGCACUGAGCAAGGCCAGGGAUGGAACCUGCAUCCCUAUGGAUGCUGGUCGGGUUCAUUAACCGCUAAGCCACAACGUGAACUCCACAAAUUAUUAUUGUUUAAAAAGAUGUACCAUUUUCCCCUGACCUCAGACAUGCAGACUAUCUCUUUUCUUUCUUUUUUUUUUUUUUGUUCCCGGGCCAAGGAUCAAACUCGUGCCACAGCAGUGACAAUGUCAGAUCCUUAACCCACUGAGCCACGAGGGAACUCCUACAGAUUAUUUCUGAAAGAUCGAAGAAACUGAUAAUAGGUUGCUUCUGGGAAUGGGAAGGAGGAGUAAGUAUCAAAUUCAAGGGAAACUUACUUUUUAUUGUACAUUUGCUAUUUUGUUCUUUUGACUUUUAUUUUUUUAACCACAUGUACCUAUUAACUUCCCCCUAAAAAUAGGAUUAGUAAGAAAAUAAGUAACGUUUUGAAAACCACAUGUGCCAGGAACCUUCCAUGGUCCCCUGGCUGUGGUGGCUGCUCUGGGCCUCCCUGGCCUCUCAUAGCUCUUGCUCCAGUGUUCUCACUGACCCUGCAUGGAAGCCCUGCAGGAAGAAGGCUGGGGCUGACUCAUGUCCCGGCAGGGACUGGGCCCAAAGUGGCUGCUCAGUGAGUGAGCCUGAAUGAAUGAAUGAACCAACAAACGACAAGGGAAGCUGGGCUGCUCAUGCUGAGGUCCCAUAACUGCCAGGACUAUAUUUAACCCCACAGGGACAGCAGCUGCCACCCCACCCCCACAGGGCUGGAGCACAGGGGGCUUUCACUCUGACUUCCUGCCCCAAACCCUGCUCCCAGCAGCCCUUGUGCUGGGGUCCCGGGAACAGGCUGGGCAUUGUGCCCAAGCGCUGAGGUCAGUGGCCGCAGCUUCAGGCAGGCCUUUCUUGGGAACCCAGGCUGGCAGGGAGGGGGAGCCCAUGAACUCCAAGGCUGCCCUCUCCCUGCCUUGGGGCAGCUGCACACCCCCAGAGCCAAACGUGUGCUGAGGGCCACGGUAGGUCAAAGGGCUCCCACCCUGCCCCCCACACCAAAACUCCACUGCCUAAUGGGGCGUGGGAGCCUUCAGUAGCUGUUUACACCCAGCUAAAAAUACCCACUGAAAAGGGAAGUGCACAAGAGACCUGGGGGGACUCAGGGCCAUGGCCCCCAGAGACUCUGCUCCUGCCACAGGACCCAGCUGGAGCCUCUGUGGGGCAGGGGCAGCCCCGGGAGGUAACAGGCAGGUUCACCUUGCCCUCUCAUUCUUUCAGCUGUUGUUUCAGAAGCCUCCCUGGGCAACGUUCAGUCCCAUGUGUGGGAAGCCAGGAUGGAUGGCGGGGACAGGGUCCAGGAGGUCCUGCUCUUGAAACCCCAAGAAUGCUUCUCAAUGUCUCUCCCCCGUGCUGGCCUGAGGCCCCCAACCCAAUGCAUCCUUGCUGAUGCCCUCUGGCUACCAGGUGGUCAAUAACGGCCAGGUCAGUGCCUCAGUAGAUGGGAAAGAGGGAGGUGGGGAGGGGGGACAGGGACAGGGGCCACUGGGGAAGGCUUCCAGGAAGAGGGGGAGGGGAGCUGGAACUGAGGACUGCAGGUGGAAGUGACUAGAUCAGGCCAGGAUUAGGAUUUCAAAUUAUGGUACAGAGAAUUAAUUAUGGCUGAGGAAGGUUCAAGGUGGGGGUCCACAGAGGCUUUGAACCCAGCCAGCCCGGAAGUUUCUGACAGGUCUUGGGACAGACUCAAGCAGAACUGAGUUUCCGCCUGGGCACGCCCCUCUGAAAGGGCAGUGCACCUGAGGAGGGCGGGGCCCGCCAGCAGCUGAGCUGGUUUGGCAGCAGUAAAAUCAGCCGCUCCUCUGGUUCUGCAAGGGGCACCCAGGCUGUGUGACGCCUCUAGCCCCACACCAGGCCGUGGGCUGGAAGGUUCCCACUGAGCCAGACGGGUGGUCCCGGAGCCCUUAUCAGACCUGCUACACAGAUGUCUCAGGGUCGGGCAGCUACAGAAUCGGGCACAAGACCCUUGCAGAAGGCUGAAGCUCCCUGGGGGUCAGAGGAGAGGGCAGGAAGGAGGGUCCCACCUUGGCUCCAGUGUUUGCUGCCCAACCCCCACCUCUAGGGUUCCCCCAGCCUUCAGCACCCCUGCCCUAAGGGGAGGGGUGAGCUGAAUGGCUGAAAAAUGCUAAAAACUAAACGAGAGCAACUCACUGGCUCUUCCUGCCCCCAAUGGCUCAGUGGGACCGGAAAUCUCGUCUAGCGGUUUGGCGGGGCUGGGCUGCAGCUAGAGGAGGCUAAUGGGGAGCCUCCUCCCCCAGGCACUUCUGCGGCUAGAGGCUGACACUCCUGGCCCAGAAAGGCUUCUAAGCUUCUAAUUACCGCUCAAGAGCCUAAUUACCUACAUGCACUGGGCAGUGGGGACUCUAGGCCUCCCCAGAGCCCUAACCCAGGCCUCGGUUCUGCCGCCCCCCCGCCCCAAGUACACGCUAUGGUCUUUGCAUCUUCAUUUGCCCACAUUUACAUACAGCCUGUCAGCACUGACCUUCAAUGAACCCUUAAAAACCAGAGUGUCCUUGUCCCUCACCCCAAAGUCUCCUAGCCACCUUACAGGUGGGGCCCAGAGGCCAGGGAACUAUCCAGAACUUUGGCCCCCUGAUUCCUGGUCUCCCCAUCUCAGAACCAGGACCCACAAAACACACAGCUAGGGCGGCCCAACUCAAAGCACAUUCAGCCUAGCUCCCCAGAAGAGGGAAAAGAGGUGUUACCAGUACCCUCCCCCCACAGGGUAGACUGUGCAAACGAGAGCAUGGGAGUGAGCGCCUACUGACCCAAUGCCGCCUGAGUUACUUAAUCCUCAAAACUCCCCUCAGGUACUACUGUUGAUCUGCUUGACAGAGGAGGAACCAGGCUGAGGAGAGUCACCCAGCUCCAAGGGGCAGAGCAAGGGUUUGAGUUCAAAUUCUGUCUGAACUUGGAUGGGAGAAAGCCCUCCACCCUCUCCUUAGGCAGGACAGAUGACACCCUAAAAAGGGACAGUUAGGCGAAGGAGGGUGGCUGAGGGGACCUGUGCCCAGAGACCGGCCUCCUGCUCUGGGAAGUGUGGGUUACAUCUGUGCCAUACCCUGCCUGGCAGAGAGGCCAAGAGUUUAUCCAGGGCCACACAGCAGCUAGAGAAGCCAGCAGCCCUAGAGCAGGUAGAUACUCCAAGCAAGGAUCUCUGCCCCUACCCUCCCUCUUUCUCAAAUGCUUCUCGAUGUUCAUGGCCCUUCCCCUCCAGGAAGCCCUCCAGGCUGCUCCAGCCUACGCAGAUCCCCAGCUUCUGAGCUCCUACCAGCCCUGCCAGGAAGUUGGAACCACAGGCCUCCCCUGACUAACUCCUCUGACUCUGGUCUCCUCUACUGGCCAGCAGUGGAGCUCUCAGGGUUCCUUCUUCCCCGCUCCCCUCCAGUCUCCCUGCAGUGUGGACAGCACAGGCUACAGCCAGCCAGGCCUGGGUGAGGACCAGGGGCCGGGCUGAGAAGCAGCCGCCAGGGUGUGCAGGCGUCAGAUGAUACCCAGGUUUUCACCCACCCACAAGGCUUCCAACUGCAGAGAGCAGGACCGACAGAGGGGGUGCCAGGCCGCCUCUCUUCUGCUUCUCGGGGGCCCAGACCACGGAAAGGGGGGGAGGCGGAGGGAAGCUGCGGUUGGAGGCCCAGCCCUACUGAGGCGUACAGAGCUGGUGUGUGAUGAGAAGCUAUGCUCAUCACAGUACCUCAAAACCAGGAAGAGAAACUGAGCAGGCAGAAAGGCGAGCCAGGCUGCGUGGGGCCCUCAGGGCCCUGGGGGCCUGCCAAGGGGAGCUACUGGACAGUCACUGGACAAACCACCUCUCCUCCCAGGCCUCAGCUUCCCUAUGGGAAAAACGGGAUUCUCUGCCUGGUCCUUCCAGUCUGCCCUGACUGGGACGGGCUGGGGCCUGCCUGAUACGAGACCACCCCCCACUAGUGGAAUACUCCUGAUCCCGCAGUGGGCUCUGGACUCUCCCGGGAAGCGGGGUCAGCCCCCUGAAGCCAGCCUCGCCCAGUCUGCUUCUCCCCUCAGCCACGCAGGGAGCACACUAGCUCUUCCUUCACCAGCUCUUUAUUUUUAGGUCUGAAUUUGACUUUAAUCAUUACUUAGCGGAUUCUAUUUCCAGCCCUUGGAUGAAGGGACCCAGAGGAGUGGAGGAAGGGAGGCAGUGCUCCCUGCCUGGCGUGGGGGGUGGCCUGCUCCUCCACCCAUCCUGUCCCCAACCAAGGAGGGGGGCACUGAGAAACACCCAAAGGGCUCACCCCAGCCAGGCCAGCAUCUUGGAGAGGACCACACCCUGUGACCUCAUCCAAGCCCAAGCUGUGGGACAGGAGGGCAGUUGUAAUGCCCACUUCCCCUGUGCCAAGACCAGGGAAGAGGGAGAAACUCCAAAGGCAAAAGUCUGGCUGCUGGAAUCCAAUGUCAUGCACCUGGGAGCCCUCUGCAUUGAAUGGACCGCUUCAGGGAGGACCCUUUCCUAAGUUAGUCCUGAGCCAUACCAGGAUCACCUGGGGUUAUGGACUCCUAGGCCCUGGGAGUGCCAGGCUGAGACUGGCUUCCUCCUACUGUCCACGGGCUGGCCCUAGUAGGGCACUGGUCCCCACAGAAGCAGAACAAGAGGAAGCGAGUGACGUCACAGCAGUACACACUCAGGUUAAACCUGAGGAACACCGGCCAAAGGGAAGGACGCUAACACACAAGCCUUCCCCCGUGAUUUGGGGACUA